AUUGAACGCUGGCGGCAGGCCUAACACAUGCAAGUCGAACGAGUGGCGGACGGGUGAGUAAUGUCUGGGAAACUGCCCGAUGGAGGGGGAUAACUACUGGAAACGGUAGCUACUACCGCAUACCAUCGGAUGUGCCCAGAGUGGAUUAGCGAGGAGGUGGGGUAACGGCUCACCUAGGCGACGAUCCCUAGCCGGUCUGAGAGGAUGACCAGCCACACUGGAACUGAGACACGGCCCAGACUCCUACGGGAGGCAGCAGUGGGGAAUAUUGCACAAUGGGCGCAAGCCUGAUGCAGCCAUGCCGCGUGGAUGAAGAAGGCCUUCGGGUUGUAAAGUACUUUCAUCGGGGAGGCGUUACCCGAAGAAGAAGCACCGGCUAACUCCGUGCCAGCAGCCGCGGUAAUAC
rnacentral:rRNA from 1 species